rnacentral:rRNA from 1 species
UACGUAGGGGGCAAGCGUUGUCCGGAAUCAUUGGGCGUAAAGCGCGUGUAGGCGGCUCGAUAAGUCUGCUGUGAAAGUCCAGGGCUCAACCCUGGAAUGCCGGUGGAAACUGUCGAGCUAGAGUCCGGAAGAGGCGAGUGGAAUUCCUGGUGUAGCGGUGAGAUGCGCAGAUAUCAGGAGGAACACCAAUGGCGAAGGCAGCUCGCUGGGACGGUACUGACGCUGAGACGCGAAGCGUGGGGAGCAAACAGG